rnacentral:tRNA from 1 species
CCCCUUGUAGCUCAAUGGAUAGAGCGAAUCCGUCCUAAGGAUGAGAUGGGGGUUCGAUUCCCUCCAAGGGGA